CUCCUUUUUUUUUUUUUUUUUGGAGGCAAAAUCCAUGAAUAAAUAAAAAUGAAAUAAAAAUAAAUGAAUAUUCAUCUCUAGUCUCGUUCAUCUCUCUUUUUUCCCUUUUCUUUUCCUUUUUUUUUUUUUUUAGGCAAAAUCCACCACAACCGAAUCAGCAUCUCCCAAAGGUCGAAGCUAAGCAAAUCACCUCCAGGUUCUCUUUGAAUUUUUCCUUUGGAUUUCUCUGUGAAUUUUUAUUUCAAUUUCUGUUUCUUUUUUUUUCUGGAGGUGCUGCCGCUCUGGUGGUGUUCAGGUUGCUUUUGCCGAUAUGCAAGUUGCCUUUGCCUCUCACUGAACGCACAUGUGCCGGCUCUUCCUCCUCCUCCUCCUCUUGUGCUAGAGAUUCAGGAGGCAAAAGAAAAGCCGGAUGGAAAGAAUGCUGACUACGAGGCCGUGAUGAGUUCUAAACUUUCAAUUGCCAAGAAAGUUUUUCACAAGAGAAGGAUAUGAUACUUAACUCCAAGUUGUUUAGGAAUUUUUUUUUUUUUUUUUCUGAAAGUGAUGUCUUUUGUUUCAUUUCCUUUAUUGUGAUGAUAUGAUAUGACAAGAUUUU